rnacentral:ncRNA from 1 species
UGUCGAAUUAUGUAGAAUGAAAACUUCGCAAAGCUACAGGUCUAAGGUUCCAUGAACUAAGAUGGCUGAGUUACCAAG